rnacentral:rRNA from 1 species
GAAUGUGGAAGAGUGGCGAACGGGUGAGGAACACGUAAGAAUCUGCCCCUCGGUCGGGGACAACUCUUGGAAACGAGAGCUAAUACCCGAUACGCUGUGGAGUGAAAGAAUUUCGCCGAGGGAUGAUCUUGCGUCUGAUUAGCUAGUUGGUGUGGUAAUGGCAUACCAAGGCGACGAUCAGUAGCUGGUCUGAGAGGAUGAACAGCCACAUUGGAACUGAGACACGGUCCAAACUCCUACGGGAGGCAGCAGUGGGGAAUUUUCCGCAAUGGACGAAAGUCUGACGGAGCGACGCUGCGUGAAGGAUGACGGCCUGCGGGUUGUAAACUUCUUUUCUCGAAGAAGAAGCUCUGACGGUAUUCGAGGAAUAAGCAUCGGCUAACUCCGUGCCAGCAGCCGCGGUAAUACGGAGGAUGCAAGUGUUAUUCGGAAUGAUUGGGCGUAAAGCGUCUGUAGGCUGUAUAGAAAGUCUUUUGUUAAAUGCCUCGGCUCAACCGAGAUCCAGCAAAGGAAACUUCUAUACUUGAGGGAAGUAGAGGUACAGGGAAUUCCCGGUGGAGCGGUGAAAUGCGUAGAUAUCGGGAGGAACACCAAUAUGGCGAAGGCACUGUACUGGGCUUUACCUGACGCUCAGAGACGAAAGCUAAAGG